rnacentral:rRNA from 1 species
GGCUGCACCAGAAGUAGAUAGCUUAACCUUCGGGAGGGCGUUUACCACGGUGUGGUUCAUGACUGGGGUGAAGUCGUAACAAGGUAGCCCUAGGGGAACCUGGGGCUGGAUCACCUCCUUACAAAAAAGA